rnacentral:rRNA from 1 species
UCGGGUGACGAGCGGCGGACGGGUGAGUAAUGUCUGGGAAACUGCCUGAUGGAGGGGGAUAACUACUGGAAACGGUAGCUAAUACCGCAUAACGUCGCAAGACCAAAGUGGGGGACCUUCGGGCCUCAUGCCAUCAGAUGUGCCCAGAUGGGAUUAGCUAGUAGGUGGGGUAACGGCUCACCUAGGCGACGAUCCCUAGCUGGUCUGAGAGGAUGACCAGCCACACUGGAACUGAGACACGGUCCAGACUCCUACGGGAGGCAGCAGUGGGGAAUAUUGCACAAUGGGCGCAAGCCUGAUGCAGCCAUGCCGCGUGUGUGAAGAAGGCCUUCGGGUUGUAAAGCACUUUCAGCGGGGAGGAAGGCGGUGAGGUUAAUAACCUCGUCGAUUGACGUUACCCGCAGAAGAAGCACCGGCUAACUCCGUGCCAGCAGCCGCGGUAAUACGGAGGGUGCAAGCGUUAAUCGGAAUUACUGGGCGUAAAGCGCACGCAGGCGGUCUGUCAAGUCGGAUGUGAAAUCCCCGGGCUCAACCUGGGAACUGCAUUCGAAACUGGCAGGCUAGAGUCUUGUAGAGGGGGGUAGAAUUCCAGGUGUAGCGGUGAAAUGCGUAGAGAUCUGGAGGAAUACCGGUGGCGAAGGCGGCCCCCUGGACAAAGACUGACGCUCAGGUGCGAAAGCGUGGGGAGCAAACAGGAUUAGAUACCCUGGUAGUCCACGCCGUAAACGAUGUCGAUUUGGAGGUUGUGCCCUUGAGGCGUGGCUUCCGGAGCUAACGCGUUAAAUCGACCGCCUGGGGAGUACGGCCGCAAGGUUAAAACUCAAAUGAAUUGACGGGGGCCCGCACAAGCGGUGGAGCAUGUGGUUUAAUUCGAUGCAACGCGAAGAACCUUACCUGGUCUUGACAUCCACAGAACUUUCCAGAGAUGGAUUGGUGCCUUCGGGAACUGUGAGACAGGUGCUGCAUGGCUGUCGUCAGCUCGUGUUGUGAAAUGUUGGGUUAAGUCCCGCAACGAGCGCAACCCUUAUCCU